AUUCGUUUUGCUUCCUUUCUACCUUUUCUUUUUUAAUGGAAUUUGAAGACUUUUCUUUGAUUUCAUUUUUUGUAUUUUACUUUUAACACAUUUUUUCACUGUAUUUUUUCUUAUUUUUUCUUAUUUUUUCUUGAAUAAACUGGUUAGCCUGUAAUUACACAAAAAAUAUACAAACAUUUAUUAUUAGAUAUUAUUAAUAACAUUUUAGGCUGCUUGCCCUGCACGUAAUAUAUAUAUCCGUUUCCGGUUGUAUUAAGUGCAAAACGGUGAUCGGUGGUCAACUCGCAUUAACGCUCGGCGCUCAUUCCACGCUUUUUUGUCCGCUCUUUCUGUUUUGUUUUUGGUUAUUAAUCACACUGUAUUAUCCUACUCAUGCCGGCAUACCGCCGCGCACCGCUCUGCUACACUACACCGCGCUGUCGUGGCGCGCUUUUCACUCCUCUUUCUUUUGACUUUUAUUUUCUUUCAUUCUUUUCCUCUCUUUUCACCGACUCACUGCAGCUUAUUUUUACGUGACUUUUUAAAUUACACAGCAGCAGCAGUAGCAGCAGCACUUGUCGAGUAUAUUUUGCGCGCACAAUUUUUCAUCAUUUCUUGACACUAAUGACAUUUUAUUAUGGUUGUAUUGCGCUCAAAGAAAUUCAAGAAAAAUCACAUUAAAGAAAUCAAGGCGCUGCACGGCACACACGGUCGUUGUAGUGAAUAGCUAGUGAAUGAAAUGUUGCCUUUGAGCUCACCGCUCCAACACCAGCAGACGCAUUCAAACACACACACGCACAAUUGUUGUUUUAAUAUUUUUAGCUAUAAUUAAAGUAUCAUCAAACACAUCACUGACAGCCAUUUCUCAGUAGUUCAUUUGUUUCAUGUUGCUUUUUGUUAUUGUUUUGUUUUGCAUUCAACUUGGCAUUAUAUUUUUCCUUUGAAAAUACGUCACUCUUUGCUCUUUUAUUUGUCUCACAUUCACUUUGUGUUCGAAAAGUCGUAAAUCCUUCAAUUUCUAAGAUUUGUGGUCCACACACAUGGAAAGCUGUAAGAAAAAUAACAAAAAGAGCAAUUAUUGGAGGAAUUAACUUAUUGUGGUUGCGGAUUUAUAAGAACUGUUAAAUAUUUAUUUUUGUUUAUUAAAACAUUAUUAGUUACAGAAGAACAAUUUGUGGAUCAAAUAAAAUACUGCAAUUUAGUGAUUUUGGUUAAAGUAAUAUAAAGUGAGAAAAUUGUACACAAUUUUCAGAUUAAAUGACAAGCUCACUAAUGACUUUCGAAUGCAGACAUAAAAUAUAAAUAAUACUCAGAGAGAACUGUCAAACGGUCACUUUUUCUAGGAUGGUACAAUAUUUUAGGAAACAAAAAGCACACACAGAAGAGGAGGCAAAUACACAAUACAAGGAAAAAAAACUUGAAAACUGUUGAAAUAAAAUGCAAAGAUUCUUUAUCUGCGGUCUUUGUCUGGUUAAGAAGGUCAACAAGCAUUAUGACUGGGCUAAAUAAUACGCAAAAAGUCUGAAAAAAAUAUGGAAAAAAGUUGGAAAAAGAGUUAAGAGGAAUAUGAAAGAAUGAUGAUAUUAUAUUUUCAUAUCAUUACUUUUUCAAACAAAAAUCUACGUACGCUUGUUGAAAAAGGAAGCUUCUCCCUGAUUAGCUGACAGAUUCGACAUUGGAUGUGAAGCAGCUGCUGCUGCGCCCUCGGCGCUAUAUAAGUUGAUCAGUUACAGUCGGUGAACAUUUAUGCCUUGUUUCUCAUUAUAACAAGAUAUAAAUCUACUGCCUUGUUAUUCCUGCGGCAUAGUCCACAAAGCCAGCAACUAUGGUGUCUGUACUUGUAUGUGCGAAUGUAUGGGUUGGCGUGCACCUUUGUUGUUUCCACCAUUUAUCAUUGCAAAAUAAUUAGGUGUAGCAAAUUUCAACAACUUCUUGUAAUAUAUGAAAUAUGUAUAUGUAAAAUGCUGAUCAGCUGUAGGAAGAGCAGAGCAUAAGGCAAAAGUGGUAGAAAUCCCAAGAGUUACGAAAGCAGUAUGUGAGCGAUUUCAGCAUCAGAAAUGCUGUGCUCCCUUUAAGAAUACUUCGAUUUCGCAUAUUUUCGCAUAACGCAUUUGGCCUGCAGCGAAAUUCUACAAAAUCGCAAAAGCCUACUUAACUACUCGUAACUACCCACACAGACUCUUGGCGCAGCGCACACGCAAUCAAAGCCAGCACUGCAGUCGGGGAUUAUCUUACGGUCGCUUGGAGGAUACUCCACUAUCCUGUUCUAGGUACCCACCAUGCAAAAACAAAAUCCAAUGAAAGACGACAAAAAUACCAGCGCUACUAUCUUUUUUAAAUAAAAGUGAUGCCCAUGAGAUGAUAAUGAUUGAGUAUCAAUGAUGAAAUAUUCUCAAUGCCAGGCUUAGAAGUUUUGGCCAAAUUCAUAAAAACAAUAUUACAUAUGUAUGUAUACAUAUAUACAUAUGUACCUGACGUACAUUUAUGAUUUUCAAAUUAUGCAUUGAUACUGGCAUUUUCCUGCACGACAUUUGUGAAAGUCAACUCUGCAGCACUUCAACGGUUCACUGGCUUAUAUACACUCUCGUAGGUAUUACAUACGCACGCCUUGCUCUAUUUCUUCGCUUCAUCAAUAAAUACGCACAGCAAGUGCUUUCAACGACUUGGGGGCAAAUGCAUAUGAGCGAGCGGAUACAUAUUUAUGCCGUUUUGGGAUUUCGAUGAUUUGAAACAACCUGCCGACCAACCAACCAAUCAACUAUACGAACCGUUCAACGAAUUUGUAUGUAUAUCAGUUUUAAAAAAUGAAACGGUUCUGGUUAGCCGAUAAAUUGUGAGCAAUCCAACAUUGAUUGUCAUGAAGGGUGCAAUUAGCAGGGAAUUAUCUACUAUAAGCUACUUAGCUACUACCAAACUCUUAAUUCGAAACUGUACUGUCAACGUUUGGACAAUCCGAAAGAAAUAAUCUUUCAGAAGUAUCCAGCUUUGGUGAAUAGGAGAGAAAAUUGUUUUCCAUCAAGACAACGCCAGACCACGCACAUCGAUAGUGCAUCGCCAGAAGCUGUGUGUUCUUAUACAUCCGCUUUAUAGUUUGGAUCUGAAUUGAUUAUUACCUCUUGCCUCAACAAUACUGUACCACUUUUUUUUAUCAAUAGGAAUUAUGAUUACGGAAAAAAACAAUGGACAUUUGACCUAAACCGAUUAUUUCUAUUUAAUGCCAAA